rnacentral:ncRNA from 2 species
AUGAUUACAAGAGGAGAGACCGCAGAAACUUGGCGGCGCCGAAGGAGCAAACAGUGAUGUGAAUCUCUCAGGCAAAAAGACUCUUGUAGGACG